CUACGGGUGGCUGCAGUGAGGAAUAUUGCACAAUGGGGGGAACCCUGAUGCAGCAACGCCGCGUGGAGGAUGACGCAUUUCGGUGUGUAAACUCCUUUUAUAUGUCAAGAAAAUGACGGUAGCAUAUGAAUAAGCACCGGCUAACUCCGUGCCAGCAGCCGCGGUAAUACGGAGGGUGCAAGCGUUACUUGGAAUCACUGGGCGUAAAGGACGCGUAGGCGGGUUGGAAAGUCAGGUGUGAAAUCCUACAGCUUAACUGUAGAACUGAACUUGAAACUUCUAAUCUAGAGUAUGGGAGGGGGAGAUGGAAUUAGUGGUGUAGGGGUAAAAUCCGUAGAUAUCACUAGGAAUACCUAAAGCGAAGGCGAUCUCCUGGAACAUUACUGACGCUAAGGCGUGAAAGCGUGGGGAGUAAACAGGAUUAGAUACCCUUGUAGUC
rnacentral:rRNA from 1 species